rnacentral:rRNA from 1 species
CAGCCGCCGCGGGAAUACGUAGGUGGUAAGCGUUGUCCGGAAUUAUUGGGCGUAAAGGGCUCGCAGGCGGUUUCUUAAGUCUGAUGUGAAAGCCCCCGGCUCAACCGGGGAGGGUCAUUGGAAACUGGGAAACUUGAGUGCAGAAGAGGAGAGUGGAAUUCCACGUGUAGCGGUGAAAUGCGUAGAGAUGUGGAGGAACACCAGUGGCGAAGGCGACUCUCUGGUCUGUAACUGACGCUGAGGAGCGAAAGCGUGGGGAGCGAACAGGAUUAGAUACCCCUGUAGUCCCUGUCUCUUAUAA